UAAAGGUGAAUAACUGGGAUGUCAACAACAUGCCAGUUUCCUUGGAUCGCUCCAACACAAUGGUGAUGUCGUGGCUCACAAACUCCAUAGAAAGCAGAAAGCAAAAUCUCUGUAAAGUGUUUUAUGGAUGUAAAUUGCUUUUGAAAUUUGGCAAGAGCUUCAUGAAAGAUAUUAUUAAGGUGAUGUUUUUCGUAUAUCUAACCUCCAAAAAGAACUUUAUUCCCUCACACAAGGUGAGAACACCAUGUCAUAAUACUUCACCACCCUUAAGAAGUUUUCGUAGGGGUUUAAUAAUUUCAUACAUUUACCUACUUGUACAUGCACUGCCACUUAUAGAUGUCAACUAUUUCCUAUCAUUAAAGUUUGUCGAGAGAGUGAUUAUAUCAUUCAAUUUCUCAAGGGAUUUAAUAAACAAUGCCCUCAAUAUAAGAUCAUAAUCAAUGCUCAUACAUCCUCUUCCUUCAAUAAAUAAGACUUUUUCUUUACUGAUGCAACAAGAAUUUCAAUAACUCAACUAUCUCAUUGACGAUAUAAUUGUUGGUCACAUUUAGAAAUCUUGUUUUCGUGUGUGUUCUCGCUAAAAACACUUUUUUAGGUAACCUUCCUGAUGUUGGUUAAAUGAGGUUGCAAAUGUAUGGAAGUAUAUUGAUUUAGGCUCUACUAUUAGAGUACUUUGUCUAUUUUUCAGAUGCCUUACCCCUUUCAUGAGAAGCUUUUUUAUUCCCUAUGUCUCAUCUAUUUGGGCCAUUAAGAAUUGCCCCUUCAAGUCUCAUGAUUAAAUGACUCUUAGUAACGUGUGUCGUCAUCAUCAUGUUACAACUUAUACCACGUAACGUCUUCCCCUUCAAUUUCGAAACACAUGUGCGACCAUGAGAUUACACAGAACUGUUACGAUGGAUUCUCAACUCGGAUCUCUAGCUAAACACCAAUCACAUGUGUGUCUCCAAGAAUCAUAUGUUCGAUCUGGUAUCUUACUCGUUCCUAGUUUGUAGGCACUAAAUUAGUUGUUUAUUGAUUAAGGGUAACCCAACAAAUUAGGUCUUCACCUAUCGGCUCCUAGUGAAAUGUACAACUAGGCUUCAAGAAUUUCGGGACGUAUAUAAGCCCCACGACCAUAAGGCCUAAAUGGGUGAAAUAUUCGGACAAAGAGUCCUGGAAUUCUCUGUGUUUUACGGGGAUUGUACUCCAACCUAACUUUAAUCAGUCCAUAAGUCACCUCAUAGCCUGAUGACGUGUGAUGGUGGGUUUUUAUGAAUAAUGAUUACAAAUAUUAUGUUAGAUUUCUUCUCUCUCCGUGUCAUGAUGACUCUUUAUUAGGAAACCAAUUCCAUUAUGACCCUGGUUCGACAGGACCCUGGUUGCUCUCAAAGUACUACACUUCCUAUCAGUCGCUAGCACACAUAUUUCAGGUAUUGUUCUUUACCUUACUUUUUUCUACUUUAAUUCUUUUACCAUGGUUAUAAUACGUUAGUGUGGUGAUCUAACAAAUGUAUCGAUUUCCCAAAAUGCCCAAGAGAUAAGAGAACUCUGGGAUUCAUCUAUGAGAGAAUGUAAAUACCAUUUGGGGCAAGUUGAAUUUAAUCACAUUGUUAAGGAAGUUUACGGUGAUAUUUUUCAUCUUUUAGCAAAUCUGAUUCAGAAUCUUCAUCAUCAGGUUCCGUGGAAAUCGUGAUGGAGAUGAUUAGAUCUUUUAUUGAUCAAGAGGUUCUAAGCUAUGACCAUAUCACUAUUGAUGUCAAAUACAUUUCCAAUCUUUAAUCUAAUAGGCAGAUUUCUUCCACUGGUAACGAAGAUGACAUUGUGUUGGAACCCUGCAUUCCCGACGAAAGGGUUUGUAUUACUCGGCCAACAGGACUAUUGGAUGAUUAUUGUUAUUUUUAAUUGAGGGUGAUUGAAGAUUUUAGGGUUAAUAGUAGUUUACCCCCCUGUAAUAUGAGCGAAUUUCGGUUUACCCCCCCACCGUUGCCAAAGGCAGGUUUUGGCAACGGUUUUUUUGAAAAAACCGUUGCCAAAAGGUAGGGAGGGGGAAAAGCAAAAUUCGCUAACAUUACAAGGGGGUGAAUUACUAUUAACCCAAGAUUUUAAUAUCUAUAUCCCUUUUACUGAUUUUGAAUCCGACCUCCUCAAAAUCCUAAAUAUCACCUCUUCCCAGCUACACCUAAAUGGUUGGGGUUAUAUAAAAGCCUUUGAGAUGGUUUGCGAAGCAGUGGAUAUAAUCCCCACCUUAGGUUUAUUCUUCUUCUUUUUUGAACUAAAAGGGCCGAAAAGGGAGGAUGGAUUUCCUUUAGCGGUAUCCCAGGAAAAAGUUUCCUCCAAGCUUAUACUACCAACUAUAAAGGAUUUAAGACAAGUUUCAUGUGUAAAAAGCAGGGUAGAUUCCCUCAAGUAAUGUAUGUGUUGAACGAGAGCCAUCGCUUUUUUGACCUACUGUACGGAUAACCUGUUAUCGGUGUCCGAGUUUGUCUAUGAUAAAUUAGAUGAUUUAGAGGUCCAAGCUUUAGCUAUUUUAGAUGCUUUCUAGGUGGUAAAGGUCUGAGAUUUAACGAAUAUGGCUGACGAUCCAGAACAAAUCUAAAACUUCAUGGGUAAUGCUUAUAUAUUCUUUAAUAUAUUAUACUUACAUCUUUAUAUCAACCUGCUGAUUUGCUUUGGUGUUCCUUUUUCAUCCAAAAUGACAAGCCUAAAGCUGAAGGAACAAAGGAAAAUAGCGGUUGAGGCCAGAGCGAGACGCGGGGAGCACUCUGCCUCUAAGACCGACUUGACAGGUAUCCAAACCUAAGCCAUCAAGAAGAGGAAGAUGGAUAUUGGUAAAGCAUCCCAAGCAUCUCUGAUCCUGAAGUCAAUAUCAUUCCCUCUUAUGGUGGUUUGAAUCCAAGCUCUCGAAAGAAGAUGAAAACUUUAAUAAGCGAUACGGUUUGUGAUGCCUACUUGGAGGUCACCACCUUGAUGCAUUAUUGGUAUUGAGGCGUAUUUGGAGCAUGAGCAAUAACGUGUCGAAGACACGGCUUCAAACGCGCGUUUUUUAGCAACGAAACCAACUCGUCAACGAAUAAAGCUCAAAAACAAAGAAUAAUAAAUCACCAAUUUGGUUGAUAUGUUGUCAUUGUUAUAUGGGAAAUUGAAUAAGGUUUCCAACGCUUCGAACCGGAUGCAAAUCGGAGUUACGGUUCUCAAGUUACGUCAUUUUUACUAUAAGUUGUUUUUUCAUGACAGCAGAUUUAGCUUGGAAACACCAUUGGAGCUUGCAUUUGGAUGAUCGGAGGUGGAUUAUUCAUCAAUCGGAGCUGACAAUCCGUGAGAUUUUUUGUUCUUCUUCUUCUCUUCUCUUUUUAUUUCUCUUUUGGUGAGUUUGUAUGUAAAUUACUCUAAACCCAUGGAUGUUUGUUACUCUUUCUACUAGUUGUAUAAAGUUUGCUUUACAAAUCUUAAUCGGUGUUUCCUUGAUCUUUUUGCUUAAAUACUUUGGAUUGGUGUUGUUGUAGAAAUAAACAUCAUAAAUCUUGAUUAGGGGGAUAUCUGUUAGCUUUAGAUUCUAGACAUAGAGUUUGGGGUUAACAUUCACAUAAUAUCUAAGUUUAAUGUCUCUGUGUUAUUCGAUCGGUUGAGACAUCGUCGAAAGAGCAAUAUAGUUGAACUCUCGUCGGUGUUGCAGAAAUGGACAUUGAUGUGAGAGAUAUGUGGUUAUUCUGAUAAGUAUUGUAGAUUGAGUACGGCGGAGUAAUAAAUCUAAGUUUGUGAGGAGUAGUUUAGAUUCAAACCAGAUAAGUUAUUCUCUAUCAAGAAUGAAUUUAUUUUAUGUUCAUAUGUUAUAUUUUUCCUGUUUACUUUAAAACCAUUUAACCCAAACUCAAGAACUAAGAAUCCGUCGAACGGCAGUUCAAUAGCAAUAAUCUCUGUGGACACGAUAAAUUCCCGGAUAAAUACUUCCAAACCUUUUGUUGCUUGCCGCUUUACCGCUCCAACAAUUAUCCCAUUCUUCAAAGGAGUUCAAGUUCUGGUCUAACAGUUUUGAUGGACAGAAGUACCUUUAUGACCACUUGAAUACCACCGAGGACUUUGAAAAGGUAAAGUCUAUAGGAUCCCAAAAAAUGACCCAAAAUAUCACGUCUUACCUAAUGUGAUGUGCGGUCAUGACCUGAGGUCUAUUUGAAGUUGGGGAUGCGUAUGAUAAUAAUGAAAUUUGUUUCAACAAGGAGAUCAGUCACCUGAAAGAAAACCUAAUGAUCCACAUUGAUAGAGUAGAGGAGCUAGAAAAACAGUUGAUGGAAGCGCAAAAUCAAAAGGAGACCGCAAAGGCCAAUUCUCGGAUCACGAAAUGACCAUUGUUGGUUUGAUCAAGGAUGUGGAAUCAACCCAAAAAUUUAAUGAAUGGCUGCAGAAAUCUCUACAGGGGGCUCUGGUAGAUAUCCUUGAAGGAUAGAAAAACACUUAGAAAGGGGGGGAUUGAAUAAGUGUGACUUUAAAUCUUGGACGAUAAAAAUAAAAUGCACAAUUAUUUUUAUCCUGGUUCGCUGUUAACGAAGCUACUCCAGUCCACCCCCGCAGAGAUGAUUUACCUCAACUGAGGAUUUAAUCCACUAAUCGCACGGAUUACAAUGGUUUUCCACUUAGCCGCAACUAAGUCUUCCAGAGUCUUCUGAUCACAACCUGAUCACUCCAGGAACAACUGCUUAGUUCACUCCUAAGACUUUUUCUAGAGUCUACUGAUCAACACGAUCACUCUAGGCUUAGUUCACUCCUAAGACUUUUCUGCUCAGCCAACUGCCAAGACUUCCUGCUCAGCCAACUGCCAAGACUUCCUGCU